AGAGUUUGAUCCUGGCUCAGAGUGAACGCUGGCGGCGUGCUUAACACAUGCAAGUCGAACGAGAACGGACUAAAGCUUGCUUUAGUUGUCAGCUAAGUGGCGCACGGGUGAGUAAUAUAUAGAUAAUGUGCCUUGGAGAGGGGGAUAAUUGUUGGAAACGACUUGUAAAACCCUAUAUGCCCUUAAUACAAAAGUAUGCAGGGGAAAUAUUUAUAGCUCCAAGAUCAGUCUGUACAGUAUCAGCUUGUUGGUGAGGUAAUGGCUCACCAAGGCUAUGACGCUUAACUGGUUUGAGAGGAUGAUCAGUCACACUGGAACUGAGACACGGUCCAGACUCCUACGGGAGGCAGCAGUGGGGAAUAUUGCACAAUGGAGGAAACUCUGAUGCAGCAACGCCGCGUGGAGGAUGACACAUUUCGGUGCGUAAACUCCUUUUAUAUCUGAAGAUAAUGACGGUAAGAUAUGAAUAAGCACCGGCUAACUUCGUGCCAGCAGCCGCGGUAAUACGAGGGAUGCAAGCGUUACUCGGAAUCACUGGGCGUAAAGAGCAUGUAGGCGGAUAAUUAAGUUGGAAGUGAAAUCCUAUGGCUUAACCAUAGAACUGCUUCCAAAACUGAUUAUCUAGAGUAUGGGAGAGGUAGAUGGAAUUUCUGGUGUAGGGGUAAAAUCCGUAGAGAUCAGAAGGAAUACCGAUUGCGAAGGCGAUCUACUGGAACAU
rnacentral:rRNA from 1 species